rnacentral:ncRNA from 2 species
UACGUAGGUGGCGAGCGUUAUCCGGAUUUAUUGGGUUUAAAGGGUGCGUAGGCGGCUUAAUAAGUCGGUGGUUAAAAGUAGCAGCUUAACUGUUUUACAUGCCAUCGAUACUGUUGAGCUUGAGAUAUUUGGAGGCAGCUAGAAUUUCCGGUGUAGCGGUGAAAUGCAUAGAUACCGGAAGGAAUACCAAUUGCGAAGGCAGGUUGCUACGAAUAAACUGACGCUGAUGCACGAAAGCGUGGGGAUCAAACAGG